rnacentral:lncRNA from 1 species
GCUUUGAGCAAUUAAAUUACUUGCCUAAGGCCGCACAGUAAGUGAUGGAGCUGCCACUUGAACCCAGAGCCUGUCCUCUCAGCAAGCGUGCUCAGUCCUGCUGAGGAUGAGGGUAUGGGUUAGGAGACACAUUCAGGAUUCCACCAGAGAAAUCCUGGCUCCAGGAAGUACUAUUUUACUUUUCCCAUGCUAGGUCGCUGUUCUUUGGGAGUAAGAAAAAUGAAAUGAGCCAUGUCAACAUUCUGAAGCCUGGGGAAACAUGCCAGAAAUGAAGGUCUGUGGAGACUGAUGGAAGAGAAAAAUGCACAGAGACAGCACCCAGUGUCUUGAUGGAAUAAGGACCUGCACGGGAAUGUCAGCAAGGGGAAUGGAGAGGAAGUGCGUUGGAGAGGAUCCAGAGAAGAGCAGAGGGUAUGGAGAUCUGCUGCAGAGGGAAAGGAGAGGCAGGAGGCAAAGGUGGCCAACCGCUCGGAGCAGCCUGCCUGCUUACGUAGAGGAAGAAAGCCAGCUCUUUACUGGGGAGUGUCAAAAAUCUGGACUUGACGUUCUGCUUUCCACUUCCUUUUAUACUCUCAGUUUUUCCUGCUCUCCUCUUCUUGUCAAACCAACAAUACCGGAGAACUUGUGAUAAGUGCCCAGCACACCGUCUGGCACAGAAUAGCCAUUCAACAAUUGGUCCUCUCCUUCCCAUUACCUUUUCUAUUCUUCUCCCUUUAUAUCCCCCUUUCUCUUUUAUCCGCACACCCCCACAAACACCCCCAUCAAUACUCUCUCUUCAAGCUGCUUUCCACGUCAGCCAAGGUGAGUCAUUACAUUAAGAAUUGCUCAUUAUUGCCCCAAUUUCCUUGACUUCCAAGAGGUGCUGUACAAAUGUUAGUCCUUUUUCCAAGUCUCUGGGACUUAGUCACCUGCUGAAAAGUCAUCCAAAGAAAAUAGGGCUUAUAGUUUUGGCCUUUCGUUCUGUAUUUAUUUAUAGGUAUGUGACAGGCCCAUUUUAGGGCGCCAACUGAACUCACUCUUCUUUGAAACUGCCCUCAUGGAAGGGGAGGGCCAGCACAGCCACAUUAGUACUGUGUGACCUUUGGCCUCAGCUGACGAGGCUGGGAGCAGACAACCGAACAGGGGGACAACGAGUCCUAAGUUGGGCUGGCGUAAUCGGACCAUCUCUCUUGAGAACUGACACAGAACAAUCCAGAGGGAGACUGUGGUGGGCUCUUGAAUUGAAAAGUUAUGUAGAGCUGGCUCUCAAAUGUGGUGGCUGACAGAAACUGGAGUAUUAAUCAGACAUGCUGAGAGAACUAUGAGGCCCAUGAGAAGCCCCGGAAUUCGUCUCUCACUGACAUGCCAGUCAUUGGCUCCUUGUGGCCUGACAAAAUUAUACUUCCUCCUUUUUUUUUCCUUUUAGAAAUUCCUUUUUGUGUGUUUAUUUACAUAUGGCUGAAUAAAACAUGUAAUAAUAUAAACA